rnacentral:rRNA from 1 species
UACGGAGGGUGCGAGCGUUGUCCGGAAUCACUGGGCGUAAAGGGCGCGUAGGCGGCCGUGUAAGUCACUUGUGAAAUCCCGGGGCUCAACCCCGGGGCUGCAGGUGAGACUGCGUGGCUAGAGCACGGUAGAGGCGAGUGGAAUUCCCGGUGUAGCGGUGGAUUGCGUAGAUAUCGGGAAGAACACCGGUGGCGAAGGCGGCUCGCUGGGCCGUUGCUGACGCUGAGGCGCGAAAGCGUGGGGAGCAAACAGG